rnacentral:rRNA from 1 species
AGCGAACGCUGGCGGCAGGCCUAACACAUGCAAGUCGAACGAACUCUUCGGAGUUAGUGGCGGACGGGUGAGUAACACGUGGGAACGUGCCUUUUGGUUCGGAAUAACUCAGGGAAACUUGUGCUAAUACCGAAUGUGCCCUUCGGGGGAAAGAUUUAUCGCCAUUAGAGCGGCCCGCGUCUGAUUAGCUAGUUGGUGAGGUAACGGCUCACCAAGGCGACGAUCAGUAGCUGGUCUGAGAGGAUGACCAGCCACACUGGGACUGAGACACGGCCCAGACUCCUACGGGAGGCAGCAGUGGGGAAUCUUGCGCAAUGGGCGAAAGCCUGACGCAGCCAGGCCGCGUGAAUGAUGAAGGUCUUAGGAUUGUAAAAUUCUUUCACCGGGGACGAUAAUGACGGUACCCGGAGAAGAAGCCCCGGCUAACUUCGU